AACUAACCUCAACCUCUCACAUGUAUCACAGAUGAAAAGAAGGCGGGGCUUAAACGUGUGGUUGGAGAUGUUCACUUCGCCUCAGCCAAUCAGAGAGCAGGUUUCAUCACUCCUGUCCCAGGAGGCGUUGGGCCAAUGACGGUGGCCAUGCUGAUGGAGAACACGGUUCGCAGCGCCCAGCGCUUCCUGCAGCAUCAACGUCAUCAUCGUGGUCAUCACAGCAGCUGAAGAACAAAACGGUCUUCUCAAAGUGCCCCCUGCUGGACACCUGUGUUGUAACUUCUCACCUCCAGUUAGACACAAGCGAGGACAGUGCCCUCUAUCUGCAUACUUCUGAAUAAAGGACCUGAUUGAAGAGAAACCCUGAGCGCCACACUGUGGUCA